GAUUUCUGGUUCGGCGCACUUGGCCCGUCUCGGUUUACGGGAUUGUGUGCCGGUGUGCGCCAUCCAUCCUUCGAGUGAGCAGUUCUACCCUUUACUGGGCCGGAGCUGUUAGCUCGAUCUUUUACUUUGAAAAAAUUAGAGUGUUUAAAGCAGGCUUGCGCUAUGAAUACAUUAGCAUGGAAUAAUAAUUUAGGACUUUUGUCUUAUUUUGUUGGUUUCUAGGACUUAAGUAAUGAUUGAUAGGGACAGUUGGGGGUGCUAGUAUUCAGCGGCCAGAGGUGAAAUUCUUGGAUUCGCUGAAGACUAACUUAUGCGAAAGCAUU
rnacentral:rRNA from 1 species